AGCUUUAUAUUCACUUUUGUGAUAUCGGAAUGCAAUUCUGAAGGGAUGGGGGAUAAAUACCCAUUAAGGCCU
rnacentral:tRNA from 1 species